UCACACACAAAAAAUUGUUUUGCAAACUGUUCGCCAACCUUGCACUCAAAAUAUCAUUUAUAAGUUUUCCUCGAGUACAAAACGGUCUGUGCUUGCACAAAACUGCCUCUGCUCGAGUACGAAACAAUCCCACCACCGCUGCGGUAAAUUUGUGCCAAAAGUCACGUGAUGCAUUAAGAGUUGUUGUUCAGACUUCCCGACAGCAGGGGGCGCACCCAAAAAAACUGAAACGCACCGGUUUGGCUUAGGAAGAGAGACGUGAUAACACAGCUAACAGCAUCAGCACCCCACAGAAUUAAACGUCUUUGGAGACGUGUGGUGCGCAGGAACUAUCAUACACAACAAUGUGCUGCACCCAGGAGAGGACAACAAUUCGCUUGACCUGUCAAACAUGUUAGAUAACUUCUGUUGUCACCAUUUAUUUGUCCCAAGACUACAACUAAGUUUUCACACCAUCAGCAGUGGCUGGGAUGACAAUUCACUCAGAACUGAGGGGAAUCUAACACUCAGUCAGUUAUGGAAGAUGGGAAGCAUCCAGCAUGCUGUGGUAGAACCAGAAAUCACAGAGGGACUCUGCCUGCCUCAUAUUGACUGGGACAACAGUGGACUGCUGGAUGACCCACACUGUGGGGUCACUAUUUCUGAAACUGGCAAUGUGUUGAGCCCUGAACAACUUGGUAGCACUGAGGGCAGCCAUAGAUGCACUGGGACAUUCU